rnacentral:lncRNA from 1 species
UUCAAUAUAAACUUCUUAAAGUACUUGAAUUCAUUUAUCCGAUUUUAGGGUAUGUUUGAGGUAUGGCUGAUUUAUAUAAACGAUACGGCUGAGUUAUCUGAACGAUACAGAGUUAUCUAAACAUUUUCUGAUUUUAGGGUAUGUUUGAGGUAUGACUGAGUUAUGUAAACGACAUAGUUGAGAUAUAUACACGACACGGAUGAGUAGUGUAAACAAAGCAUAAGUCAAACACAAAAUACAUGGGUGAGUUA